rnacentral:rRNA from 1 species
AACGUAGGACACAAGCGUUAUCCGGAGUUACUGGGCGUAAAGGGCGUGUAGGCGGAGGUGUAAGUCUAUUCUGAAAGCUCCUGGCUAAACUGGGAGAGGGGAAUGGAGACUGCAUAUCUAGAGUGAGGAAGAGGAAAGUGGAAUUCCGCGUGUAGUGGUGAAAUGCGUAGAGAUGCGGAGGAACACCAGUGGCGAAAGCGACUUUCUGGUCCUUAACUGACGCUGAGGCGCGAAAGCAUGGGGAGCGAACGGG